rnacentral:rRNA from 1 species
AACGAACGCUGGCGGCAUGCCUAACACAUGCAAGUCGAACGAGACCUUCGGGUCUAGUGGCGCACGGGUGCGUAACGCGUGGGAACCUGCCCCUUGGUUCGGGAAUAACAGUUAGAAAUGACUGCUAAUACCGGAUGAUGACUUCGGUCCAAAGAUUUAUCGCCGAGGGAUGGGCCCGCGUAGGAUUAGCUAGUUGGUGGGGUAAUGGCCUACCAAGGCGACGAUCCUUAGCUGGUCUGAGAGGAUGAUCAGCCACACUGGGACUGAGACACGGCCCAGACUCCUACGGGAGGCAGCAGUGGGGAAUAUUGGACAAUGGGCGAAAGCCUGAUCCAGCAAUGCCGCGUGAGUGAUGAAGGCCUUAGGGUUGUAAAGCUCUUUUACCCGGGAUGAUAAUGACAGUACCGGGAGGAAUAAGCUCCGGCUAACUCCGUGCCAGCAGCCGCGGUAAUCUGAGUCGGAG